GUGGAUUAGAUACCCUGGUAGUCCACGCUGUAAACGAUGGAUGCUAGCUGUUAGGAGUAUCGACCCUCCUAGUAGCGUAGCUAACGCGUUAAGCAUCCCGCCUGUGGAGUACGGUCGCAAGACUAAAACAUAAAGGAAUUGACGGGGACCCGCACAAGCGGUGGAGCGUGUUGUUUAAUUCGAUGGUAAGCGAAGAACCUUACCCAGGCUUGACAUCCUGCUAAUCACUCCGAAAGGAGAGAGUGCCUUCGGGCCGCAGUGACAGGUGUUGCACGGCUGUCGUCCGCU
rnacentral:rRNA from 1 species